rnacentral:rRNA from 1 species
GGCUCAGAGCGAACGCUGGCGGCAGGCCUAAUACAUGCAAGUCGAACGCCCCUUCGGGGGAGUGGCGGACGGGUGAGUAACGCGUGGGAACGUGCCCUUUGGUUCGGAACAACACAGGGAAACUUGUGCUUAAUACCGAAUGUGCCCUUCGGGGGAAAGAUUUAUCGCCAUUGGAGCGGCCCGCGUUGGAUUAGGUAGUUGGUGGGGUAAAGGCCUACCAAGCCUACGAUCCAUAGCUGGUCUGAGAGGAUGAUCAGCCACACUGGGACUGAGACACGGCCCAGACUCCUACGGGAGGCAGCAGUAGGGAAUCUUGCGCAAUGGGCGAAAGCCUGACGCAGCCAUGCCGCGUGAAUGAUGAAGGUCUUAGGAUUGUAAAAUUCUUUCACCGGGGAAGAUAAUGACGGUACCCGGAGAAGAAGCCCCGGCAA